UUGUAAGCAAUCAAUAAAAGAAAGUCUUCAAAACUGGCCAAUCAUGUGGACAAUUGGUCCAUCAGUUGGAUAAAAUUAUACUUUCAGUGCUGAGAGUCUUAUUUUGCUAGAAAUUUCAAAUCGAAUAGCAAAAUCAAGAAAUAUGGUUAUCAUCGGUAUAUUGUACGGUAUAUUUUGAAAAAGGAAAGGUAUUUUUUGGUAUUUGGAAAAAAAUCUGCUGCCAGCGGCGUCGGUGGAUUUGUUUGGCUCACAAUGCUCUGCGCCGAAGUUUUUAUUGUUAAUUUGUACUCCAGACUUACAUAUUU